rfam:Picea glauca, whole genome shotgun sequence.
ACAUGCUUACAGCAUAGCGUUAAUGCACCGAAUCCCAUUAGAAAUCUGCAGUUAAGCAUGCUCGGGCUAGAGUAGUACUAGGAUGGGUGAUCGCCCUGGAAGUCCUAGUAUUUUACUUUUC